rnacentral:rRNA from 1 species
UACGUAGGGCGCAAGCGUUGUCCGGAAUUAUUGGGCGUAAAGAGCUCGUAGGCGGUCUGUCACGUCUGCCGUGAAAACCCGAGGCUUAACCUCGUGGCUUGCGGUGGAUACGGGCAGGCUAGAGUGUGGUAGGGGAGAUCGGAAUUCCUGGUGUAGCGGUGAAAUGCGCAGAUAUCAGGAGGAACACCGGUGGCGAAGGCGGAUCUCUGGGCCAUUACUGACGCUGAGGAGCGAAAGCGUGGGGAGCGAACAGG